AACGAACGCUGGCGGCAGGCUUAACACAUGCAAGUCGAGCGCCCCGCAAGGGGAGCGGCAGACGGGUGAGUAACGCGUGGGAAUCUACCCAACCCUACGGAAUAGCUCCGGGAAACUGGAAUUAAUACCGUAUACGCCCUAUGGGGGAAAGAUUUAUCGGGGAUGGAUGAGCCCGCGUUGGAUUAGCUAGUUGGUGGGGUAAAGGCCUACCAAGGCGACGAUCCAUAGCUGGUCUGAGAGGAUGAUCAGCCACAUUGGGACUGAGACACGGCCCAAACUCCUACGGGAGGCAGCAGUGGGGAAUAUUGGACAAUGGGCGCAAGCCUGAUCCAGCCAUGCCGCGUGAGUGAUGAAGGCCCUAGGGUUGUAAAGCUCUUUCACCGGU
rnacentral:rRNA from 1 species